UAAACUGAAGCCAAAUGUCAGGUGCUUAGCUGUUAACUAAGAGUUAGUGGGAUAAAUACCCUCCAGUUUAG
rnacentral:tRNA from 1 species